AGGCGGGAGGCGGCUGACAACACCCAUGGCCCAUGCAGAGGUGGUGGAAAGGCUGGACUCAGCAGCAACACCAAACCCCAAACCAAGCAGAAACCACCCGAGACUGAGGGGCUCGUGCCAGAGCAGUGGCCACAGAGUCAGAACAGCCUCUUCUCAGUGGGCAUCAUCUCUCUCUGCCAAAGCAACAGCGGUCCCUGCCCCAACCAGACUGCCCCACUCCGUGGAGUUAUGGCCGCUGCUCCAGUGCUCACCGAUGCCCUCGGCGAAGUUGGGGUAGAACUCAUCAGUGCAGAGGGGCUCGGGCAGCUCACGGAAGUACAGCUUCAGCGUGCCUGCGAUGGCGUUCACGUCCAUCUCGCUCAUCAUCACCGACACGUCCUUGUUAUCUGGAAAGAGCACGGAUAUGUAGCGGCCUCCUUCAGGAUCCCAAUAAAUGAAGAAAAGACGAAAAGAAGGAUAUGACAUGCCCAGGCCAUGGAGUGCUCUGAGAUAACAUCACGGACACCACCGCCCACACCUCCAUCCCGCCCUGCGCAGGCCGACACUGACAUUGAAGGCUGCCUUCAGUGCCUGGAUGUCCGUGGCCACUCCGGACACGCGGUAGAUGCCCACCUCCUCCGUGCCUUGGCGCUCGAUCUUCUCCACACACUGGCGUACGAUGUAGGGCACCUUGGGACCUCUCUCUCCUGCGGGAGGAGGAAAUGUUCUCAGUGUCCUGACAGCCCUGCUUAGGCCACAACACAGGAGACCUGCCCCCUCUCUGCAUACCCGGAGGUGAGGAUGGUGAUGAAGGUACCCAGGUGUGGGGCUGUACACAGAGCCUUAUACAUGCCUGUGCUCCCUCUGCAAGCUCUGUCCUCAUUGCAUGUACUUUCUCAGGAACUUUUCAAGCAGCCAGAACCCCUCCGAGUCGCUACACAUUAUCUUUUCGGGAAGAUCAGGAGGCCUGUCUAAGUAAAGUCAGCACAGGAAGGGCAUCUGACAGAUUCCAGGCCUGGGGUUAGCAGCCUGUGCUCCCAGCUGGGGGAUCAGACCUGGUGUUGGUCCUGCUACCCACGUGCUAUGAGAGAGGAGAAUCCCUGACCCCUGCCCUGGGCCUUAACACACAUCCGACGAAUGACUGAAGGGUUGCCUCAGCACCAGUGCUCCAAGUCCUGUGAUGCUAACUGCUUUACUCCUGAGUCUUAGCAAUGAACAAUUCCAACACCGCCACACAGGACAUAGAGUAAGAAUACUUCAAAGUAAGUGCUGUGCUGAGGCCUUAACUUUAGUUCUCUUUUGCAACUGGAUUUAGGAGCACAUCAAAGCUGCUUCUCAAGCCACCCUCAUUAGCAGUGCUUAUUUGAGGGAGCUGCUGCUGGAGUCCUCGCUGCUCAUGCCCAGAGCCCUCCCAGAGUGCUACGCAAGUGGCUGCCAUGCAGCUGGGGGUGGAGCUGCCGUGCAGUUGGGGGUGGGGCGUGCUGUUUAGACACAGAAAGGAGUCCAGGGUAUGAUUGAUGGAGGCCCUGGCCCACAUGACCAGGAAGUUCAUAGGCCCAGCUGGAUUCCAUCCUGGGGAAGCAAAUGAAUUCUCAGAGGAAGUGGUCUGUGUCUGCAAGAACUGCUCUCAAACCAAACAAGUUUCUCUUGGCAACUGACUCAUGACAAAGGGGCAGGGGUUACGGCCAUUCAACAGGAACCUGGGACCAUGACAAAUUCCAAGCGAGGGCAGAAAACCCUGCACUCAGGCAGUUCCUGGAGCCAGCCUCCUGCUUCCAAGCAAGGCGGCAAGGACAUUCCUGAGCUGAUUUUGAGUAAACACAGGAGGUAGCUGAACACACCACGUGUUCCCUGGGGCCUGACCUCACCGCGCAGCGGCCACGCAUAGAGAGGAGAGACCCACACAUGCUCUUCUCUGCAGAAACAGCUGAAGAGACAGGCACUCUCAGUGCAUGAGCCCAAGCCCGUCCCCA